rnacentral:sRNA from 1 species
UGCUAUGAUUCUAGCAGGUAUUGCAGUUGCUAUCGCUGGACAAGUUGCAUUUGUAGGUUUGAUGGUACCUCAUAUAGCAAGAUUUUUAAUUGGAACUGAUUAUGCUAAAAUUCUACCAUUAACAGCCUUGUUAGGUGGGAUACUCGUGCUUGUUGCCGAUGUGAUAGCACGAUAUUUAGGAGAAGCGCCUGUUGGUGCAAUCAUUUCAUUUAUCGGUGUUCCU